rnacentral:rRNA from 1 species
GACGAACGCUGGCGGCGUGCCUAAUACAUGCAAGUUGAGCGCUGAAGGUUGGUACUUGUACCGACUGGAUGAGCAGCGAACGGGUGAGUAACGCGUGGGGAAUCUGCCUUUGAGCGGGGGACAACAUUUGGAAACGAAUGCUAAUACCGCAUAAAAACUUUAAACACAAGUUUUAAGUUUGAAAGAUGCAAUUGCAUCACUCAAAGAUGAUCCCGCGUUGUAUUAGCUAGUUGGUGAGGUAAAGGCUCACCAAGGCGAUGAUACAUAGCCGACCUGAGAGGGUGAUCGGCCACAUUGGGACUGAGACACGGCCCAAACUCCUACGGGAGGCAGCAGUAGGGAAUCUUCGGGCAAUGGACGAAAAGUCUGACCGAGCAACGCCGCGUGAGUGAAGAAGGUUUACGGAUCGUAAAAACACUGUUGGUAGAGAAGAACGUUAGUGAGAGUGGAAAGCUCAUCAAGUGACGGUAACU